rnacentral:rRNA from 1 species
CAUGUUUACUUAAAUAAACCAUUUUGAUUAACCCGCUCUAGCCCUCAAAAUUCUAACACGAAUCAAAUAAAUCACACUAAACCAAAACAUUUUUAUGCCUAAGUAUCGGUGAGAGAAAAGACAACAGGCGCGAUAGAGACAGUACCGCAAGGGAAAGAUGAAAUAAAAAUUUAACACAAAAGUAUAACACAGCAAAGAUUAACCCUUUUACCUUUUGCAUUAUGGUUUAGCCAAACACAAUCGUGGCAAAGAGCACUAAAGUCACCUACACCCGAAUCUGGGCGAGCUACUAUGCAGCAGAAGUAACACAGCACUAACCCAUCUCUGUAGCAAAAGAGCGGGAAGACUGCCUAGUAGAAGUGAAAAGCCUAACGAGCCCAGUGAUAGCUGGUUGCUUGGGAACAGAAUAUAAGUUCUACUGAAAGCCUUCUGAUUUACCACCAACAAAGGACAAAGAAAGCUUUCAAGCUAUUUAAUGGGGGUACAGCCCCAUUAACACAGGACUCAACCUAUACCUAAGGGUAAAACUAAUUUGCACUUUAAAUG